rnacentral:lncRNA from 1 species
UUCUUCUUCUCUCCUCUUCUUCUCUUUCUCCUGUUUCUGUCGUUCCUCCUCCAUCAUCAUCUUCAUUCUCUCUUUCUCUUCUUCAUAUUCUUCAUCUUUUCUUCUGUUUCUCUGACUCUGUUCUUCAGGAUCUUCAUCUGCUGUUCUUGAUUUUCUCUCUCCAUCUCUCUGAACAUUUUAAAUGAGUAGAAGCUUCCUCCGUUUGCCUUCACCAUGAUGUCUAUCUUCUCCAGUAGAUCAGACACUUGUGUUCGGUCUUCAGGCUGAUUGUUGUUGAAC